GCGGUCGGUGAUGAUUCUUUUACCCACCUUGUUCGAGUGUUAACUCUGAGAAGACUCACAUGCACUACCAUCUGAGACCGG
ensembl:snoRNA SNORD33 Small nucleolar RNA Z195/SNORD33/SNORD32 family